rnacentral:tRNA from 1 species
GUUCCUGUAGUUAAAUGUAUAUAACAACGGUUUUUCAGGCCGUAGGUCCCAGAUAGAGGCUGGGUGGGAAUA